AACGAACGCUGGCGGCAUGCCUAAUACAUGCAAGUCGAACGAGAUCUUCGGAUCUAGUGGCGCACGGGUGCGUAACGCGUGGGAAUCUGCCCUUGGGUUCGGAAUAACUUCUGGAAACGGAAGCUAAUACCGGAUGAUGACGUAAGUCCAAAGAUUUAUCGCCCAAGGAUGAGCCCGCGUAGGAUUAGCUAGUUGGUGGGGUAAAGGCCCACCAAGGCGACGAUCCUUAGCUGGUCUGAGAGGAUGAUCAGCCACACUGGGACUGAGACACGACCCAGACUCCUACGGGAGGCAGCAGUAGGGAAUAUUGGACGAUGGGCGAAAGCCUGAUCCAGCAAUGCCGCGUGAGUGAUGAAGGCCUUAGGGUUGUAAAGCUCUUUUACCCGGGAUGAUAAUGACAGUACCGGGAGAAUAAGCUCCGGCUAACUCCGUG
rnacentral:rRNA from 1 species